rnacentral:rRNA from 1 species
GGAUAUAAUCUAAAUGGCCGCGGAAUUUUAACUGUGCUAAGGUAGCAUAAUCACUUGUUUUUUAAUUGAGGACUUGUAUGAACGGAUUAACGGAAUUAAGCUGUUUCUUUUAUAAUGCAUAAAAAUUAUUUUUAAAGUUAAAAAACUUUAAUAAUUUAAAAAGACAAAAAGACCCUAUAGAGUUUUAUUCUUUAGUAUAUAAAAUGCAUAAAGAAUUUAGUUGGGGCAACUAAGGAAAAUUAUAAUUUCCUUUUAGGUAUUUCAUACAAUUAUAGCAUUUAAUAAAUAAAUUAAAAUAAAUUACCUUAGGGGUAACAGUGUAAAUUUUCUUUGAGAGUCCAAAUCGAAAAGAAAAAUUAC